AUCAUGUUGUUUAAUUCGAUGAUACGCGAAAACCUUACCUGGGCUUGAACUGUGCAUGACAGGUGUAGAGAUACACCCUCCUUCGGGCAUGUACAGAGGUGCUGCAUGGCUGUCGUCAGCUCGUGUCGUGAGAUGUUGGGUUAAGUCCCGCAACGAGCGCAACCCUACCCUCGUUGCUACCAGGUUAUGCUGGGCACUCUAGGGGAACUGCCGGUGAUAAACCGGAGGAAGUGGGGACGACGUCAAGUCAUCACGGCCCUUAUGUCCAGGGCUACACACGUGCUACAAUGGCCGGUACAAAGAGUUGCGAUGCCGCGAGGUGGAGCCAAUCUCAAAAAACCGGUCUCAGUUCGGAUUGUAGUCUGCAACUCGACUGCAUGAAGCUGGAAUCGCUAGUAAUCGCGGAUCAGCACGCCGCGGUGAAUACGUUCCCGGGCCUU
rnacentral:rRNA from 1 species